rnacentral:pre_miRNA from 1 species
GACCCCUGCCCACUGUGAGCUUACGGUCUAGAGGGUGCGUUCCCAACUCUGGACGUGUGCAGAAACUAAGUAGGGUGGACCUCUGACCGUGCUCCUGUAAAGAGAAGAGGGGCAGCCGGGGUGCAGAACCUCUAGACUGUAAGCUCACUGUGGGCAAGGAAU